CUGGUGCACUUUGCCGGGCUCAGGCCAGCAUCAGUUUGCCCCGGGGGAUAAAGGCUUUGGGAAUGUGGCUCCUCCGGGAGUGUUAUAGCCCAUUGCAUAAUAUCCUGGGGCGGACUGAGGUUCGCGCAUCUGCAAGGAUGCUGGCGUAAUGGUCAUCAGCGA
rnacentral:rRNA from 1 species